UCCCUGGAGGACUAGUGGUUAGGCCACAGCACUCUCGCCGCUGUGUCCCGGGUUCAAUUCCCAGCCAAGGAA